rnacentral:rRNA from 1 species
GACGAAGGAUGCAAGCGUUAUCCGGAUUCAUUGGGUUUAAAGGGAGCGUAGGUGGCCUUAUAAGUCAGUGGUGAAAUCUCCGGGCUUAACCCGGAAACUGCCGUUGAUACUAUCUGUCUUGAAUAUCCUGGAGGUGAGCGGAAUAUGUCAUGUAGCGGUGAAAUGCUUAGAUAUGACAUAGAACACCAAUUGCGAAGGCAGCUCACUACGGGAUCAUUGACACUGAGGCACGAAAGCGUGGGGAUCAAACAGG